CUUGACCGAGCCGAGCCAGAGGGGUUCGGCGCGGUCCUGGCCGUAGGUGGCCAGCAGCGCCUGCGCCUC
rfam:Streptomyces hygroscopicus subsp. jinggangensis 5008, complete genome.